UGCCCCAUGGCUUAGUUGGCUAUAGCGUCCGACUGUUAUCGUUUAACGAGGCGAUCGGAAGGUCGAGAGUUCAAGCCUCUCUGGGGCAG
rfam:Sphaerobolus stellatus SS14 unplaced genomic scaffold SPHSTscaffold_34, whole genome shotgun sequence.